AGCGAACGCUGGCGGCAGGCUUAACACAUGCAAGUCGAGCGGGCAUCCUUGUGGUGUCAGCGGCAGACGGGUGAGUAACGCGUGGGAACGUGCCCUUCGGUUCGGAAUAACUCAGGGAAACUUGAGCUAAUACCGGAUACGUGCGAGAGCAGAAAGGUUUAUCUGCCGAAGGAUCGGCCCGCGUCUGAUUAGCUAGUUGGUGAGGUUACGGCUCACCAAGGCGACGAUCAGUAGCUGGUCUGAGAGGAUGAUCAGCCACACUGGGACUGAGACACGGCCCAGACUCCUACGGGAGGCAGCAGUGGGGAAUAUGGGACAAUGGGGGCAACCCUGAUCCAGCCAUGCCGCGUGAGUGAUGACGGCCUUAGGGUUGUAAAGCUCUUUUCUCCGGGACGAUAAUGACGGUACCGGAGGAAUAAGCCCGGCUAACUUCGUG
rnacentral:rRNA from 1 species